UGGGGAAUAUUGCACAAUGGAGGGAACUCUGAUGCAGCGACGCCGCGUGAACGAAGAAGGCUUUCGAGUCGUAAAGUUCUUUUAUAUGGGAAGAUAAUGACGGUACCAUAAGAAAAAGCUCCGGCUAACUACGUGCCAGCAGCCGCGGUAAUACGUAGGGGGCUAGCGUUGUCCGGAAUCACUGGGCGUAAAGGGUUCGCAGGCGGAAAUGCAAGUCAGGUGUAAAAGGCAGUAGCUUAACUACUGUAAGCAUUUGAAACUGCAUAUCUUGAGAAGAGUAGAGGUAAGUGGAAUUUUUAGUGUAGCGGUGAAAUGCGUAGAUAUUAAAAAGAAUACCGGUGGCGAAGGCGACUUACUGGGCUCAUUCUGACGCUGAGGAACGAAAGCGUGGGUGGCAAACAGG
rnacentral:rRNA from 1 species